rnacentral:rRNA from 1 species
GUAAAUAAUUAAGGGCGUAUGGUGGAUGCCUAGGCUCUCAGAGGCGAAGAAGGACGUGAUAAGCUGCGAAAAGCUCCGUUUAGGUGCAAAUAACCUUUGAUGCGGAGAUCUCCGAAUGGGAUAACCCAAUAUGUUGAAGACAUAUUAUACCGUAAGGUAGGCAAACGCAGGGAACUGAAACAUCUAAGUACCUGCAGGAGAAGAAAACAAAAGUGAUUCCCCCAGUAGCGGCGAGCGACCGGGGAUAAGCCCAAACCGUUAUUGUUUCGGCAGUAGCGGGGUAGUAGGACUGCGACAUUGAUGAAAUAAAUGAAAUGGAACACUUUGGAAAAUGUGAUCACAGAGGGUGAUAAUCCCGUACAUGCAAGUUUAUGAAUCAUAGCAGUAUCCUGAGUAAGUCGGGACACGUGUAAUCCUGACCGAAUCCGCCGGGACCAUCCGGCAAGGCUAAAUACUCCUGAGAGACCGAUAGUGAACCAGUACCGUGAGGGAAAGGUGAAAAGCACUUCGAACAGAAGAGUGAAAUAGUCCCUGAACCCAUACGCCUACAAGCUGUCGGAGCCGCUUCGUGCGGUGACGGCGUGCCUUUUGCAUAAUGAGCCUACGAGUUACUCAUCACCAGCGAGGUUAAGUACUUCAGGUACGUAAGCCGAAGCGAAAGCGAGUCUGAAUAGGGCGUCAAGUUGGUGGUGGUAGACGCGAAACCUUAGUGAUCUACCCAUGGGCAGGGUGAAGGUUUGGUAACACAAACUGGAGGCCCGAACCGGUAAACGUUGAAAAGUUUUCGGAUGACCUGUGGGUAGGGGUGAAAGGCCAAUCAAACUGGGAAAUAGCUCGUACUCUCCGAAAUGCAUUUAGGUGCAGCCUCUGUUGUUUUGUUCUAGAGGUAGAGCUACUGAUUGGAUGCGAGGGCUUCACCGCCUAUCAAAUCCGGCCAAACUCCGAAUGCUAGAACAUGAAGACAGGGAGUGAGCCAGCGGGUGCUAAGGUCCGUUGACGAAAGAGGGAGAACUCAGACCAUCAGCUAAGGUCCCCAAUUAUAUGCUAAGUUGGAAUUAAAACGGGGUGGGACUGCUUAGACAGCUAGGAUGUUGGCUUGGAAGCAGCCAUUCAUUUAAAGAGUGCGUAACAGCUCACUAGUCGAGCGGUCCUGCAUGGAUAAUACGCGGGCAUAAGCAUAUAACCGAAGCUAUGGGAUUGUAGAUGAUACAAUCGGUAGGAGAGCAUUCCAUUCAGCGUAGAAGCAGUACCGUGAGGUAUUGUGGAGCGGAUGGAAAAGCAAAUGUAGGCAUAAGUAACGAUAAUGCGGGUGAGAACCCCGCACGCCGAAAGAUCAAGGAUUCCCCGGCAAUGUCAAUCAUCCGGGGGUAAGUCGGAUCCUAAGGGUAAGCCGAGUGGCGAUCCCGAUGGCAAACAGGUUAAUAUUCCUGUACUGAUCAUAACUGCGAUGCAGCGACGCAGAGGUGACACUGCUGCGUACUGACGGAAUAGUACGUUGAAACCCGUAUUCUUUGAUACCGGUAGUGAAGCACGCCGGUAGAGAUGAAAGGUGAUAGUACCGCAAUGCUUCGGUUGCGCGGAUAACGCAGGUAAGCUGACUGCCAAGAAAACCUGCUAAGCUUCAGGUAAUGAUCAUCCGUACUGUAAACGGACACACGUGAUCAGGUAGAAAAUACUAAGGCGCUCGAGAGAUUCAUGGUUAAGGAACUAGGCAAAAUGGUCCUGUAACUUCGGGAUAAAGGACGCUCUUGUGAAAGAGCCGCAGAUAAUAGGCCCAGGCGACUGUUUACCAAAAACACAUGGCUAUGCUAAUUCGCAAGAAGAUGUAUAUGGCCUGACACCUGCCCGGUGCCGGAAGGUUAAGAGGAGAGCUCAGAGGUAACUCGAAGGUUUGAAUUGAAGCCCCGGUAAACGGCGGCCGUAACUAUAACGGUCCUAAGGUAGCGAAAUUCCUUGUCGGGUAAGUUCCGACCUGCACGAAUGGUGUAACGAUCUGGGUACUGUCUCAACCAUGAGCUCGGUGAAAUUGUAGUUCCGGUGAAGAUGCCGGAUACCCGCAACGGGACGGAAAGACCCCGUGAACCUUUACUGCAGCUUUGCAUUGAUUUUGGGUAACAGAUGUGUAGGAUAGGUCGGAGGCUUUGCAAGGAUCAAAACAUUGAUCGAUGAAAAGAAGAAAGAAAAUCCGGAUACACUUAUCCUGGACGGAGGAGAUUUUUCCAUGGGAACCCUGAUCCAGACAGUGUACACAACAGAAGCGGCAGAACUUAGGAUGCUUGGAUAUCUGGGCUGUGAUGUUACGACAUUUGGCAAUCAUGAAUUUGAUUACCGUUCCGGCGGACUUGCAGAUAUGCUGAAGAUUGCAAAGAAUUCAGGGGAGACAGUUCCGGAACUUGUAGUGUGUAAUGUAGACUGGGAUGCCAUGGAAAAAGAAGGAUUAAGCAAAGGGCAGAAACAGAUAGAAUCCGCAUUUGAGACAUAUGGAGUAAAGGAUUAUGUGGUUAUUCAAAAAGGCGGUGUAAAGAUAGCGGUUCUUGGGGUAUUCGGGAAAGAUGCAUUAGAAUGUGCACCUACCUGUGAACUUGAGUUUAAGGAUCCUGUGGAAUCAGCAAAAAAUACAGUAGAAGAGAUUAAGAAAAAAGAAGAUGUCGAUAUGAUCGCAUGCGUUUCCCACAGUGGGACAUGGGAAGAUGAGAAAGUAUCAGAAGAUGAGACUCUGGCGAAA